rnacentral:rRNA from 1 species
AUUGAACGCUGGCGGCAGGCCUAACACAUGCAAGUCGAGCGGAUGAAGGGAGCUUGCUCCUGGAUUCAGCGGCGGACGGGUGAGUAAUGCCUAGGAAUCUGCCUGGUAGUGGGGGAUAACGUCCGGAAACGGGCGCUAAUACCGCAUACGUCCUGAGGGAGAAAGUGUGGGAUCUUCGGACCUCACGCUAUCAGAUGAGCCUAGGUCGGGUUAGCUAGUUGGUGGGGUAAAGGCCUACCCAGGCGACGAUCCGUCACUGGUCUGAGAGGAUGAUCAGUCACACUGGAACUGAGACACGGUCCAGACUCCUACGGGAGGGAGCAGGGGGGAAUAUUGGACAAUGGGCGAAAGCCUGAUCCAGCCCAGCCGGGUGUGUGAAGAAGGUCUUCGGAUUGUAAAGCACUUUAAGUUGGGAGGAAGGGCAGUAAGGUAAUACCUUGGUGUUUUGACGUGACCAACAGAAUAAGGAACGGCCAACUUCGUG